rnacentral:lncRNA from 1 species
GUAAAGUAACAUUUAACAAUUUUAAAAAAAAUUAAAAGUUCCUCACAACCAUAACAUCACUCACAAACUCGCAUAAACUUUUCUGACACAUCCACUCUAGCAUACUCCAAUCCAAACAACAUUACUUUCUUCUCACAUCUUCACACAUCCAAUGCCUCAAAUUCUCACACAUCCACUCCCCAAUCCAAACACACACUAAAAUUCUAAAAUAAUUCACAGUCCUUUCAAAUCUAUUUGAUUAUAGGUGGUCCAAAACUCAAGUGAACUUAUUCAUAUAGGUGUUCCAAAACUCGAGUUGUUACCACUUUGUUCAUAAUACAACAAUAAAAAAAAGUCCAUUUUGCUUUCAAGUAAUCAACACGCUGGGUUGAAAUCCAUGGACAGUAAAUCCUCCAUCAACAGAAAUAACCUGUCCAGUGAUGUAAGAAGCUGCUGGCAAGCAAAGGAAAGUCACCAAGGAUGACACUUCAUGUGCUUCUGCAAUUCGCUUUAUUGGCGUACGAAUCAUUAUCUCGUCAACAUAUUCUUUGAUUGCAAGCACCUGGUAGAUACAAGGUAACAAUUAGCAUGCUAACAUACUCACAUGUGCUCUCUCAAGAAUUUGAAUUUCGUACUAAAUUAAUCUAAAAAUAUUUUAUCUGAUAGACAGACACUCUUUUUAUCUGAAUACUCUUAUACUGCUGAAUAGACAAGUUAAAACAUAAAAGGAGCAUGAAUGUAAAACUUCAACAUAUCAGCUUAGAAUUUAUUUACUAAUGACCGACCAGUUCAAUGUGGAUAAAACUCAAUUUUAUUUCUCAAAAUAAUUAACCAAUCUUCAGAAAGAAAAGACAAUUAGUCUCUUGGAACAGAACAUAAACCGGGUGAAAGAGCAUUACAGAUUCCGCAAGUGAUGUUUUGGUAUACCAGGGUGCAACACUGUUGCUCCUAAUAUUGUCUUUCGCCCAUUCACAUGCAAGAUAUUUGGUAAUCUGAUCCAUUGCAGCUGAAGAAAACAGCACAAUGAUUCUAUUUCGUCAAUAUACUUCAAAAUAGUUUAUAAUCUGUGUUUGAGAUGACAUAAUUAUACAUCGACACACCUUUAGCUGCUGCAUAAAUGACUCCAGUACCUAGACUUGUCUGACCUGCAACGGAGGAAAUGGACACAAUACUUCCAUUUCCAGAUUCUUUCAGAAGAGGAUAUGCAAGUUGGCACAGAUGGUAUGCAGGGUCCAAGUUAGUUGCCAUCAAUUUUGAAUAUUCUUCGGUUGUAUACUCUAUUGUUGGCCUCCUCACAUUUGUUGCAACAUUGUUUACCUAAGCUCACAAGAUGAUCAUAGAAACAAAACUUAUUGUGUGCUGAAAUCUCGCCCACAAGAGAAACGAGUCUAGCUAUUUGAUUGAACAUUUUUAAUUUUAACAAUUUUAUGCUGAAAUGAUCACAAAAGGCAAAGUUAUACAUACUAUGUUUUCAAUUAACUAUAUUGUGCAGAUACAAAUGCUGCCUACAGGAUGGAUUUCAAGCAACAAUAAGAAAGUCUUAUUUAGGCAAAAUACAUAAAGAAAUUNNNNNNNNNNNNNNNNNNNNNNNNNNNNNNNNNNNNNNNNNNNNNNNNNNNNNNNNNNNNNNNNNNNNNNNNNNNNNNNNNNNNNNNNNNNNNNNNNNNNUGAGUGCAUGUAAGAGGAGAACAGGAUGAAGAACACACACUAACACAUUGAGUGUUUUACGAGGAUGUUAUUACAAUACACGAUACAGUAUUCAGCAAUACACAUCAUAUUGAAACUCCUGUUUGAAUUGAAAAACCUGAGAUCAUCUCUAACAAAUUCAGUAACUAAUAUCCCAAAAUAAGAGAGUCAUCAAUACAGCUGAAUACACGGGUUAUCCUGCUUCUAUCCUAAGCACAGGCAAAGCAGCUGGGUUGCAUCAUAAUACAUGACAGGGUAGGUACAGAAGCUCCAAAAUAUUUUGAAAUUUAGCACAAUAAACAAAUUAGUAAGUGGUACAUUCAUUCACUUAACACCGGUUUUCACAUUUUGACAGUAUAGUUUCUUGAUUUUAAAGGUCUUAUCUUGAGAUGUGUCAUUAUUGUCACAAACUCUAAGAUUGUAUUUAUGGUGCUGCAGUAAACAUUUCCUGCAUUCACACAUUUAGUUAAUCAGAAUCGUUGGAUGAAGAUGCAACAACUCAUACUUUUUCUUGCCAAAUCUAGUUUUAGGAUAUGUAUUUGAAAUGUGAACCAUUUGAUCUUCAUCCAACAGUUCCUUUUCAUGAAUGCCUGAAUGUUAGAGAUCGAUUUCAUGAAUUCAAUCAGUGAUGACUUUUUAUAAAGCUGAACACUUAGAUUAUCCUGCCUACUAUUCCAAUUUCUAAAUAUACAAACAAAAAGAAGAAGAAAGACUCACAAGUAUGUUGAGCAUGCCGUUGAAGGCAGAGGCCACUUCUUUGAUGAGAUUCUCUCUUUGGGCUGGAAAAGACACAUCACAAACCGACCCAGAAACCGAAAACCCCUUCUCUUUCCAUUCCUUUAAGCAUGCAUUCAGCUCCUCUUCAUUCCUGGAACAAGUGUACACAGUUGCACCAAACUCCGCCAGUUCCUCCACCACAGCAUGCCUGAAUCAAAAGUGAAACCCAAUCACACCCAUAAAAAAUAGCAUACAAAAAACGCAACUUCAAGUCGUUUUAACAAACCCCAGAAUCAAGAAAUAAAAAACAUAAAAAUAAAAAACAUCCGGAUCUAAAAACAUAAAAAUAAAAGUAAACAUCCAAAGUUAUAACCCUAAUUUAAUAAAAACAUAAAUUGUUCAAGUUUCUCACACAUGGAAACAAUUAGCCUCAUUGGCUUUUAUAAUAACAACGUAUAAUAAAAGAACUAUGAUGUGUGAUGAGAGCUUGUUAGAACACUUAAAUAUUAUUUUAUCCCCUUUCCGAAAAGAAUGUACUUGACACAUGUUCUUCCAAUCACGUCCAAUCUUCACACUUUUUGCAGGUAAAGGUUUCUAUGAAAACCUUGCAUUGAACAUCUUUUAUAAGCCCAUAAAGAACAAUUUUUUUGAAUCUGCCUCUACGAAUGUAUUUGGCAAAAUCCUCAGGUAGAUACUUCAAAAAAAUAAAACAAUGUGUAAAAAACUUAAUAUACAAAAUAAGGAUUGAAAUAUUAAAUAAGACAAAAGUAAAAUGUCACCAGAUAACUUGAUUGAGUCUGACGAAGAGAUAAAGUUACGAAGAAAUGUUGUUGAAAAGGACCAUUGGUGAGUGGUUCACGACGUUCAGCUUCAGCAAAAUGGACAGAUACCAUUAUUUGAGAAGCCGCUUCCAUGUAAACAUUAAUAUGAAAGCAGUUAUCACUAACGUAUCGGAAAUAUACGCGAUGUUCUCCUUUAAGAUCAUAAAAAUGACGUAAGUUCCCCCAUGCAUAGAUUAUUUCAGGAUUCAGCAAAUCCAUGUUGUACAUUACAACAUGGAUGUUCCCGUUAUUAUCUGCCAGCAGACAGUGGUCAUCAAGUUCAUUUUGAAAUUCAAUAGCAAAAGCGCAAUCCACAGUAUCUCUUUCUAUGUCUAGAAAAUAUAAAUAUAGUUUACUUUUUAUUUUAAAAAUAAAUAGAAAGGAUGUUUGUGAUAUGAAUCAUUGAAGAGAUAAUCAUAUCAUUUAAUCACUUUGUUUUUGUUUUUUAAUUUGUCAUCUAAGUAGGUUUUGUUCAAAACUUUAACAUGAUCCGAUUGGAUCUGCCUUUAGCAUUAUUUUUAUUUUUUAAAUUAUCAAAUAAAUAGUAAGAUAUGUUAAAUAUAACAAAAAAUAACUUUGAAUAUUAAUAUUUCCUUUAAAUAUCAUUAUAUAAUUAAUAAUAAUAUAACUCUUUACAUAUAUAUUACAUAAAAAAUAACAUUUUACAACUUUACAAAUAAAAAUUGUUGGAAGCUCUGCAUUUUGUUCACCAGAUGAAGUACAAUCAUGUUGCAACAUAUUAUUACAGGCAUUGAAUAUAUAUAAAUUUUUAAAAUACUAAAAUAACUCAUUCUCAUAGUUACUAUGAUUCAAGAUAGUCGUGAAAGACAUUAAAAUUCUAAAAUAAUUCACUGUCCUUUCAAAUCUAUUUGAUCAUAGGUGUUCCAAAGCUCAAGUGAACUUAUUCAUCAUAGGUGUUCCAAAGCUCGAGUGGUUACCACUUUGUUCAUAAUACAACAAUAAAAAAGUCCAUUUUGCUUUCAAGUAAUUCUCACGCUGGGUUGAAAUCCAUAGACAGUAAAUCCUCCAUCAACAGAAAUAACCUGUCCAGUGAUGUAAGAAGCUGCUGGCAAGCAAAGGAAA